rnacentral:rRNA from 1 species
CCUACGGGGUGCAGCAGUGGGGAAUAUUGGACAAUGGGCGAAAGCCUGAUCCAGCCAUGCCGCGUGUGUGAAGAAGGCCUUCGGGUUGUAAAGCACUUUCAGUGGGGAAGAAAGCCUUGGGGCUAAUACCCUCGAGGAAGGACAUCACCCACAGAAGAAGCACCGGCUAACUCCGUGCCAGCAGCCGCGGUAAUACGGAGGGUGCGAGCGUUAAUCGGAAUUACUGGGCGUAAAGCGCGCGUAGGCGGUCUGAUAAGCCGGUUGUGAAAGCCCCGGGCUCAACCUGGGAACGGCAUCCGGAACUGUCAGGCUAGAGUGCAGGAGAGGAAGGUAGAAUUCCCGGUGUAGCGGUGAAAUGCGUAGAGAUCGGGAGGAAUACCAGUGGCGAAGGCGGCCUUCUGGACUGACACUGACGCUGAGGUGCGAAAGCGUGGGUAGCAAACAGGAUUAGAUACCCUGGUCGUC